rnacentral:rRNA from 1 species
CAGUAGCCACGGGAAUACAGAGGGUGCAAGCGUUAAUCGGAAUUACUGGGCGUAAAGCGAGCGUAGGUGGCUUGAUAAGUCAGAUGUGAAAUCCCCGGGCUUAACCUGGGAACUGCAUCUGAUACUGUUAGGCUAGAAUAGGUGAGAGGAAGGUAGAAUUCCAGGUGUAGCGGUGAAAUGCGUAGAGAUCUGGAGGAAUACCGAUGGCGAAGGCAGCCUUCUGGCAUCAUAUUGACACUGAGGUUCGAAAGCGUGGGUAGCAAACAGGAUUAGAUACCCCAGUAGUCCCUGUCUCUUAUAC